AGCGAACGCUGGCGGCGUGCCUAACACAUGCAAGUCGGGGGAGAAAGUGAGCUUCGGCUCCCGAGUAAACCGGCGCACGGGUGAGUACAACGUAGGUAACGUACCUUCGAGUCCGGGAUAACCAGUCGAAAGAUUGGCUAAUACCGGAUACGACCGUGGGGGCCUCGGCCUUCGCGGUGAAAGAUGGCCUCUGCUUGCAAGCUAUCACUCGUUGAGCGGCCUGCGCACCAUUAGCUCGUUGGUGAGGUAACGGCCCACCAAGGCGGAGAUGGUUAGCUGGUCUGAGAGGAGGGCCGGCCACACUGGGACUGAGACACGGCCCAGACUCCUACGGGAGGCAGCAGUGGGGAAUAUUGCGCAAUGGGCGAAAGCCUGACGCAGCGACGCCGCGUGGGUGAGGAAGGCCUUCGGGUCGUAAAGCCCUGUCGGGAGGGAAGAAUGCUCCCCGGCCUAAUAUGCCGGGGAGGUGACGGUACCUCCUAAGGAAGCACCGGCUAACUCCGUGCCAGCCGCCGCAGUAAUAC
rnacentral:rRNA from 1 species